rnacentral:rRNA from 1 species
UACGAAGGGGGCUAGCGUUGCUCGGAAUCACUGGGCGUAAAGCGCACGUAGGCGGAUUGCUAAGUCAGGGGUGAAAUCCUGGAGCUCAACUCCAGAACUGCCUUUGAUACUGGCAACCUUGAGUCCGGGAGAGGUGAGUGGAACUGCGAGUGUAGAGGUGAAAUUCGUAGAUAUUCGCAAGAACACCAGUGGCGAAGGCGGCUCACUGGUCCAUUACUGACGCUGAGGUGCGAAAGCGUGGGGAGCAAACAGG